AGGGGUAUAGUCAAGCGGAAAGACGGAUGGCUCUGAACCAUUGAUGCCUAGGUUCGAAUCCUAGUGCCCCUGCCA
rnacentral:tRNA from 1 species